CAUUAAAUAAUAAUUAUCUACCAUGCUUAGCUUAUCCUAAUUUAUCAAUUGGCUGAAAAGGCUGCAGCCUAGAGCGCCAUUAAAUGACGGUGGGGAGAUGCGACAAAACAAUUUUGUUUUUAAUUGAUUUCUUUCAAAUUUGUAAAGCGUGUAAUACCAGGAUUUAUCAUAUAAAACUACUAUCCAGAGAUGGGUAAAACGGAUCAUUCGAAGGAUACCGUUAGGUCAGGUAGGAACGGUUUAUUCAAAAGACCUGCAGAUUGUAUGAUUCAUUCAUAUCAUUCAUUUGAAUUAUGCGAGUCAAAAGAUUUUAUCACUUAUCAUAUUAUAAGUUUAGAAAUUUAUUCUGGUUUAAUUUGUAAAAAUUAUAAAUUUGAAUUACCUACUAAUAUUGAAUUUGUUUCAGUAUAGAAUGUAUUUUGGAAUUAAG